UGCUCUUCGCGAAAGAAAAUUUCUGGGGUAUGAGGGGUACUGCCUGCCCGGUGACUUAGAAGUUAAACGGCCGCGGUAUUUUGACCGUGCAAAGGUAGCAUAAUCAUUUGCCUCUUAAAUAGAGGCUGGAAUGAAUGGCAAGACGAGGGUUUGACUGUCUCUUUUUUAGUAAAUUUGAAUUUAAUUUUUUUGUGAAGAAGCAAAAAUAAUAUCGAAGGACGAGAAGACCCUGUCGAGCUUAAACAAGGUUGUUAGAUCAUAAAAAUAUAAUUCUUUUACUAAUUAUUUUCCGUUAGGAAUAGUGGUGUUAUUAAAGAUAUAGUAGUGUUGUGUUUGGCUUUGUUUUGAUUGGGGCAAUCGCGGAGAAUACUUAACCUCCGUUAUAAGUUUGAAAUAUUUAAAAGUAAUAUCUUUGGUAGUACAAAAAUGUGUAUUAGGUGAGCCACUGGAAGAGUGAGCAAAAGAAUAAGUUACCGCAGGGAUAACAGCGUAAUUUUUUUGGAGAGUUCAUAUUGAUAAAGAAGUUUGCGACCUCGAUGUUGGAUCGGGAUGUCCAGGAGAUGCAGCAGUUUCCAAGGGUUGGUCUGUUCGACCAUUAAAAUCCU
rnacentral:rRNA from 1 species